rnacentral:rRNA from 1 species
UGGAUCCAGACUUUGAUUCUGGCUCAGGACGAACGCUGGCGGCGUGCCUAACACAUGCAAGUCGAACGGAGAUAAAGAUUUCGGUUUUUAUCUUAGUGGCGCACGGGUGAGUAACACGUGAAUAACCUGACCCAAAGAGGGGGAUAACACCUGGAAACAGGUGCUAAUACCGCAUAAGACCACAAUGCCGCAUGGCGAAGGGGUCAAAGAAAAUCGCUUUGGGAGGGGUUCGCGUCCCAUUAGGUAGUAGGCGGGGUAACGGCCCACCUAGCCGACGAUGGGUAGCCGAGCUGAGAGGCUGAUCGGCCACACUGGAACUGAGACACGGUCCAGACUCCUACGGGAGGCAGCAGUGGGGAAUAUUGGGCAAUGGGCGCAAGCCUGACCCAGCAACGCCGCGUGAGGGAAGAAGGUUUUCGGAUUGUAAACCUCUGUCGCAGAAGACGAAGGAAGUGACGGUAUUCUGUGAGGAAGCCCCGGCUAACUACGUGCCAGCAGCCGCGGUAAUACGUAGGGGGCGAGCGUUGUCCGGAAUUACUGGGCGUAAAGGGAGCGUAGGCGGUCUGAUAAGUUGGAUGUGAAGUACCCGGGCUUAACUUGGGGGGUGCAUCCAAUACUGUUGGACUAGAGUACAGGAGAGGAAAGCGGAAUUCCUAGUGUAGCGGUGAAAUGCAUAGAUAUUAGGAGGAACAUCGGUGGCGAAGGCGGCUUUCUGGACUGCAACUGACGCUGAGGCGCGAAAGCGUGGGGAGCAAACAGGAUUAGAUACCCUGGUAGUCCACGCUGUAAACGAUCGAUACUAGGUGUGGGGGGACUGACCCCCUCCGUGCCGCAGUUAACACAAUAAGUAUCCCACCUGGGGAGUACGAUCGCAAGGUUGCAACUCAAAGGAAUUGACGGA